AUCCAGUUCUGGGCUCCACAAUUCAGGAAAAUUAUGGAGAGGCUUGAAAGAGUUCAGAGGAGAGUCAAGCACAUGAUGACAGGGCAAGAGAACAUGCUUUAUGAAGAGAGACUGUGAGCCAUGGAACUCUUCAGCCUAGAGAAAGCAUGUGCUUGGGGG